UACAGAGGGGCAAGCGUUGUUCGGAAUUAUUGGGCGUAAAGGGCGCGUAGGCGGCUUGGCAAGUGGAAAUGGUGAAAUCCCUCGGCUUAACCGAGGAACUGCCCUCCAAACUGGCUUAGCUUGAGACCGGGAGAGGUGAGUGGAAUUCCCAGUGUAGCGGUGAAAUGCGUAGAUAUUGGGAGGAACACCAGUGGCGAAGGCGGCUCACUGGACCGGUACUGACGCUGAUGCGCGAAAGCGUGGGGAGCAAACGGG
rnacentral:rRNA from 1 species